rnacentral:rRNA from 1 species
CAGCAGCCACGGUAAAACGGAGGGGGCUAGCGUUGUUCGGAAUUACUGGGCGUAAAGCGCACGUAGGCGGCUUGGUAAGUUAGAGGUGAAAGCCUGGAGCUCAACUCCAGAAUUGCCUUUAAGACUGCCGAGCUAGCAGGUGAGAGAGGUAAGUGGAAUUCCGAGUGUAGAGGUGAAAUUCGUAGAUAUUCGGAAGAACACCAGUGGCGAAGGCGGCUUACUGGCUCAUACUGGACGCUGAGGUGCGAAAGCGUGGGGAGCGAACAGGAUUAGAUACCCCCGUAGUCCCUGUCUCUUAUAC